rnacentral:rRNA from 1 species
AUGAGAGUUUGAUCCUGGCUCAGGACGAACGCUGGCGGCGUGCCUAAUACAUGCAAGUCGAACGCUUCUUUCCUCCCGAGUGCUUGCACUCAAUUGGAAAGAGGAGUGGCGGACGGGUGAGUAACACGUGGGUAACCUACCCAUCAGAGGGGGAUAACACUUGGAAACAGGUGCUAAUACCGCAUAACAGUUUAUGCCGCAUGGCAUAAGAGUGAAAGGCGCUUUCGGGUGUCGCUGAUGGAUGGACCCGCGGUGCAUUAGCUAGUUGGUGAGGUAACGGCUCACCAAGGCC